UUGCUCUGACCCGCGUUUAACCAUCGUUCUGCUCGUUGGGGCCGUAGACGUGCUUAGAAAAGCCUCUCCUGGGCUCCCCUUGGUGACGUGCUCUCUGAUGUACAGUGUCCCACCCGCGUUUUGGAAAUGCUCUUUGUAUUGUAAGCAAAAUGGUUUACAGCGAGUGUACGUAUUUGCAUUGAUUUUUAUUGCCUGGAGGGAAUCUCUUUCUAUAUAAGUUUGAACUGGAAGCUGCUCCAUGAAGGAAUGAACCUUCAUCCCCCUUGGUGCUCCCCGGAGCUCCGCACAAAAGGACGUAGCUUAUUUAAUCGCAGAUUUAUUUGUCCCCACAUUGUGUGAGCCUAAGCUGAACCUAGUUGAGCGGUGCACAGAACAUUAAUAACUCCAUUAGUAAGAAAGCCUGAUGCAUGCAGUCUCCUCUGGGCUUUAUUAGAAGGUGUUGAGGAAGAGGCGCCGUCAUCUCCACUCGCUGCCCGUGCCGAUCAGAGUGAAGAAACGCAUCCAGAAACCUUGCAAAGAGACUUGCAUCGUAGCAUCGGCGCUUUGUUGUUUAGAAAGGAAACUGCUUUUCCUGGCUGUUGUCUCGGGAGCUGCUACCUGGUUUUAUUAAUUGUUUGUUGCAGAUAAGAAGCUAAUGUGUUCCCAUUGCCUUUGCAAUUUUUACAGGUGACACCUGAAGUAAAAUUACUUCUCUGCACGUGGAGCGUGGAACAGCUCAGAAAUAGCACAAGGGAGGGUCUGGGAAGGGUCGCUGUUUUAUAUCCCCUUUAUAUCUCUGUGAUUCGUGUGGAGCACUCACACUGCACAGUUUCAGCUCCACAUUCCGCAUUUCUUGUUGACGUGAACGGCUACCAGGUGGGAUUAGCUGCAGCCUUCCAGGUGUCAGCUCGGCACGGUUCUCAACCCUCUCCUUUGCACCCAGUUUUAAAAUCCCUUUGCAUUUGGGUAUGAUUUGCUUUUGGCUUCCCUUUGCAAAACAAUAACGGAGCUGCUCCAGACACAGUUGCUCUUAAAACCUACGACCCUGCCGCUGUUCCGGGCUGGAAACGCUGGAUUUCCGCAGUGGGCGCAGCACAAAUCUUUGUGUUGAAUCUUCCUAGGGCUGAAGAGUUUGCAUUGCGGUGUCGCAAAGGCAAUGUAGAAGUCAAGAUUUCAAGGAAGAACUAAUGUUGUUGAGGGAAUGGGAAAGAACUUUGCUGAUCCUUGUAAAACUACUGCGGGUUGCAGCUUCUAUGCCAGAUGGUGUUAAACGUGAGAGUGGCCAGAAACCCUUCAGUCGAGCCACAGGUGUCUCCAGACCUUGGAGUGGGUUCAUUCCCAAACAUGAGCCCAAAGCGAUAACUUACUGAGGGCAGGGAAGCUCAGGUAGGUAGGUUAGUACACAUCCCCAGCUUUUGCUUUGCUUGUGGCCACAGAGCUCUUGAAAAUGGUUUCUGAAGCAGAUGGGCAAAGAGCUGAAGCGGGAUAUGAGUUUUGGUUGUGUUUCUUCAAGGCACGCUUUUAUUUUAACAAUAUAUCCAUCGAAAAAGUUAAUAAAAAUGAAGUGCAAAAUAAAAAGAGAUACAAAAUAUUACUAGCAGCCCUGAAAUAGUUCCCGAAUGCACGCUUUUGGCGAGGCAAGGAGAUGCGGUAUCUAACAACGUAAAUCAAUGCACUGCAUGCAAAAGGAAAACAGAGCAGCGUGAACAUUUAAAUAUUCGAAGAGAAUGCAAGCUAACAUUUAAAAUAGUUCCAGAAGCCAUCUGGUAGUGGGCUGCUCAAAUGCACAGUGCCGCCAUUGCUAACGUGAGGUGGACGCAGGGAAUCCCUGGUCUCUUCGCCGAGUUGCCAGAAGGGAUUCUUGCUUUGCAACCGAGCACCGAGCUGCCCUGCUGCUGCUCUCUUGGGGCUUUGGGUGGAUCUUGGCCCUGGUAUUUCUCCGUGGAGUUUCUAGGCAGCAAACUGCUUAAUCUUUGAUUGGACAGGAGCAGCAAUGAGUGUUGCAUUGCAGAGAGCUUUAUAGGCGUUAUCUGUGCAAAAAAUGAGCAGAAUAUAAGCUACAGGGUGACCUUCCCCGUGCCUUUGGCAUGCAUAGGAACUGUAGACUAUUGUACGCUCUAUAUCUCUCCUUGAUACACAGGAAAAAAAACAUUGGCACAAUCACUGUUUUUCAGUCUUUGUCUUCUGCUUUAACUCUGUGUGUUCCCUUCUGACCCCAUCCUGGAGAAGGGCUCUUAAUUUACAUUGUUCUCGAGACCUUUGUGGGAAAAACACCUGGCCCACAUGUGUCCUUUUCCUAAGAACCUCGUUUAUCAGUCAGCUCGCCUGGUCUGAGCUGGUGCAGUGUUAUCUCCAUAGAUGCUGAAGAAUUUGUUGUGAUGGGCAGAUGGAGGAGCAGGGAGGAUGGGGUGUAUUCUCAGAAGCUCUCAAGAGCUCCAGGAGGUACGGAAGGAAUUGGCUCCAGCCACCCUGCAGCCCUUGAAAGAGCCAAUACACGUCCUACCAAAAUGUCCCGGGAGCAGAACCCAACGUAAUCCUGGCUUUGUUGUUUGUUUGUUCACUCGCGCUCAAUAAAGUGUCAGGAAAUCCACUUGAGUUAUUUACGGAGUUAUUUACUUGGUCUUACAGAGCAGAACAUCAGAAGCCUAAAUUGGGAUUCUCUUGCUAGAUUCAUGGGGUGUACUAACAGCUCAUUUGAAAUGCAAACGCAAGCCCAGGUUGUCGUUAGGCAUGCCGUUGCCCUAACUAGCAGCAGGCUCUGUGGCACCAACGCACAAUCUACUGACAAACUCCUUCAGCUGCUUUGAAGUGCUCUCUCCUGUAAUUGCGUGCGUCUAUCCAAAUCCCUUCCCUCCUUCUGCCUCCCGAAUUUGCAGACUCGAUACAGAAGGCAAGACGCAGCUCUGGCGUUAAAGGGUUUUUUGUUUGGUGAGUUUGUUGGUCUGAAUUUCACUUUUCUUUCUGAACAUCCAAUGUUCUUCCUGAGCCCAGGAUCAGGAUCUGAGAGCUAUAAAACCUGUUUUAUAUCUAAAUACUGUUACUGCCCCUGGGCAGUACUUUGUGUAUUUAGCCACUGAGCCAUGCUUAAUACAGAUAUUUUGGUUUCAUAGAGUGAAAGCUAGACAUAGCAAGAGCUACCCUGUCAUUUCUGUCAUUAUUUUUUCAUAUAUAUAUAUAUUUAUAUAUGAAUAAAAAAGUCAAUUACAUGAAUGAAAGAUGCUUGGUUCCCUGCCUAAACAGCUGCCAAAAUGAAUUCAAACUCUGAGCCAAGCUCAGCAGAGCUGGAAUUUCUGCAGCAAGCUCCGGUGCGGUGUGAGAUCAGCUUGUGCAUUCGCCUGCAUUACAGAUGAUUGCCGCCCGCGGCUGUCUGCUCGGGCAGUUGGGAAAGGGUGCAUUUCACACACUUUGUGGUGAGCUUAACUGCAGAAAAGCCUGGAUUAACUCUCCUCAGCUGACCCUUGCUGGAGCAAGUGCUCACUUGAUAGAGAGCAGCUGUUCCAGCUGCUCAGAUCACCUGAAAACUUGGUGCCAGCAUCAGCAACACUUGGAGUUUCCAUUGGGUUUUUUUCCCCAUUGGACCAGUUAACUUGUAUUUGAAGAACCACCUGAGCUGAGCAGGAGAUGUUUUGGAUGGGGACAGGAGCUGGGUGGAGUUUGAAGGUGAUUUUCAGGAUGUGAGGUGGAGGAUUGACGUAACAGUGUGAGUUUCUAAUGGGCCUUUUCCACCGGGUUAAAUCAAAGCGCAAGACUCUGGUUAUCCGAGUUAGAUACUUAAGACUGGGGCAAAUGGUAUGCCAUCAAACAUCAGCUUUUGACCCUUGUUCUUUAAGGGUUUUGCCCAUUAUGCGUGCAGAAGAAGGGGUUCGUUAACGGGAGCAGAGCCGUGUUCUAAUAAGCUUUUAUAAAGCUCUGUGGCUUCCAGAUGGUCAGGGGUCACCCUUUUUGGCCUCAUUUCUUCUCGGACUCCUCUGGCCAGGAUCAAGUGAGCAGUUUAAUGUUGAGCACGCAGGUCUGCAUGCGGAGGCUCAGGUUCAGGUCCUGGCUUGUGCGGGGACCAGGCUGGGAGUGGGGCCGUCUUGGAAUCAUUUCGGUUGGGAGAAACCCUCAGGAUCAUCGAGUCCAACCAUAACCCAGCCUAACCCUGCUGUUGAACCCCAUGUGGCCGGUGAGACCUUCCAGUUCUACCUGUCCAAGAGAGAACGAGUUGGAAUCAUGGAAUCAUGGAAUUGUUUAGGUUGGAAAAAGACACCAGCUUUUCACUGUGUCAUCGUAGAAUCAUUUUGGUUGGAAGAGACCCUGCCUAUAUCAUGGGAAAUUAUCCCAUUUUUCCCCCAUACAAACGGCUUUGAAUACAUGUGUUUCCAUAAGAUUAAGAACAAAAGCUUAUGGAGCAUGAGCUUGUAUCUAGCACACGGUUUAUGACCUGAAUUAUCUCCUGCACAGGAGGGUUACUGUGACAGGACAGAUGCUGGCUCUAACGUCACCACCUCCAGGGCCUGGUACAUUAAGUCAACUCUAAAUUAUCUCAAGACACGUCCUUGAUCAAGUAAACACGCUGUGUUUGCCAAGCCAGGCCCGGCGAGAGCUCUCGUGACGUACCUGUCGGAAGCCGCUGCGCGUGUGCUGCAGGAUCUUCAGGGCGUAGUUGGAUCGCUGACCUUUGCUGUUGAACUCGAUGUGGCCGGUGAGACCUUCCAAUUCUACCUGUCCAAGAGAGAAUGAGUUGGAAUCAUGGAGUCAUGGAAUCGUUUAGGUUGGAAAAGACACCAGCUUUUCACCGUGUCGUCGUAGAAUCAUUUUGGUUGGAAGAGACCCUCAGGAUCAUCGAGUCCAACCAUAACCUGACUCCAGCACUAAACCACGUUCCUAAGAACCGUUGAAACCCCUCCAGGGAUGGUGACUGCACCACUGCCCUGGGCAGCCUGUUCCAAUGCCCCACAGCCCUUUGGGGAAGAAUCUUUUCCUGAUAUCCAAUCCGGGUGUAACUCGAGGCUGUUUCGUCUUGUCCCAUCACUUGCUCCUCUCGGCUCACCGAUGUGUUCAGAGCUUUUAAUCUCAUGGGAGCCCUCGGAUCUGAGCAACCACAUAAAGUUGAACAAGGAGCUUUUUAAAAGGGACAGCAAGAAAACAUGAAAAGCAUGAAAACCACUUGGCAAGAGGUGGAGCGUCCCGGCGGGGGGAGCAGGAAGCACUCACCCCCCUUUUGAUUUCUGAUUUGGGGAGGAGAUAAGAAUCCCAAGGGAGAAACAGAUGCAUGGGCUUGGAUGCAAUAUCCUGCCAGGGCUUGUUGUGCCGGAGAGGAACCUUCCCUCCAGAGACAUUAAAUAUUAAUAGCAGCAAUAGAGACAUGGAUAAACAAGAGCGAGGUAUAAACUGUUCGUUUUGAGGGCAUCGGUGUUAACUCUGGCAAUAUUGUAUUACAGCCAGUUUGGGAACAUGGGCCAAAGGCUUGUGCUGCAUUCAAAUCCCUGCGUUUCCACCUGUCCGUAUUGUUCUGACUUUUUGCCCAGCUCUGCCUUGCAGAACAGCCUCCCUGCCCCUGCUGCAAAGUGUCUUUAACCCGACACCAACACCGGUGCCUGACAUCUGUGCGUCGUGUUUCCUCCUUCUGCUGCAGCGCAUCUGGUCCGUUCGGUUUGUUCUGCAAGCUGAUAGCUGAAAAUUUACCCUCUAAACUCAAAUAUCUUUAGGUUUGUAUCUUAUAAACUAUCCAAGCUGCAGCCUCUUGGCGCAUCAGUGCUAUGGGAGACAGCAGAGAUGCUUUGGCAGGACGGCGAUGCUGAGAAGUACAUCAGUUCUCUUUAUGUCCAAGUGCCCCUGCAACACAGACCAACUUAAUUAUUUAGCUGUGUGGGCUGGACAGUCUCAUGUAACUCCAGGAGCUGGGCAUGUAGGAAACACAUUAAACAUUUCCAUAGCGCAGCAUGGUGUUUACUACUUAGAUUAAGCAGCUUUCAGAUGAGAAAUGAUUGUAAACCGUAUUUUGGUAAUGCAAACUGUUAUUAUUGACUGGACUCAAAGUGCAAUCGUUUAUAACAUGUCAGUGUUUCCGCUGUAAUUUUUAAUGGAUUCUUCUUUACAAGGGGUGGAAGCGGGAGACUGUUGCUGGCUGAUGUGUCACACUGCAUAAGCUGCAUUUUGGGGUGUUUUGUGUGUUUUUGGCUGCACCCCAUUAUUUAGGGAGGAAUAUAUAGGGAGAUCAGAGGUGCAUGAGCCCUCGGGCCAACCUGCUAAAGAUGCCUCUUUGAACAAGCCGAUCUAGAAACUUCUUCCUGUUAAAAAGGGUUGGAGGAAGAGUUCCAGCUCCUCUUGCACAUUAAGAUGAUGAAGCACUAAUUGUUUGAAACCGCGCGGGCAGUGACGCGAUCAUCUCGCCAAGCGACUUGGGGAGGUCCAGUGAAGCAGAACCAUGGAGCUGGGCAGCUGCUGGCACGGAGCAAAUAUCAUAACAGUAAUUAAUGGAAAAGAAAACAAACCCCAACCAAUGGCUGCGGAGGGAGAAGAGCGAUAAAAUGAGCCCUGCUCCGCCAUCCAAAAGCUGACCGGUGGGGUUUUAAAUCCCCUCUUAAUAAUGUAUGCAGCAGCAAGGAAAAUCAGACUGGGAAUCGAAAGGUUUAAUAUUAGGAAGAAAAUAAGGCAAAUAAAAUGCUGUUUAAAAAUUU